rnacentral:rRNA from 1 species
UACGUAGGCAGCAAGCGUUGUUCGGAGUUACUGGGCGUAAAGGGUGCGUAGGCGGUUGUUUAAGUUUGGUGUGAAAUCUCCCGGCUCAACUGGGAGGGUGCGCCGAAUACUGAAUGACUAGAGUGCGGGAGAGGAGAGUGGAAUUCCUGGUGUAGCGGUGAAAUGCGUAGAUAUCAGGAGGAACACCGGUGGUGUAGACGGCUCUCUGGACCGUAACUGACGCUGAGACGCGAAAGCGUGGGGAGCAAACAGG